ensembl:lncRNA
AAGCAACACUUUUUUCCUUUACAUGCAGUGAAGCACAACUGCAGAAUUUUCCACCAGCAGUGCAGCUCACAUGUCGAGCUCAUGAUCCGUAGUCGGGGCGUGUGUGUCUGAAGGCUGGAGUUUGUGUGUUUUGUGUUUGUGUGUGUGUGUAUGUGUUGUUAAUAUAACUGUGUGUGUGUGUGUGAUGAUUCGAGUGUGUGUGCAUUCUGCUGUAUGUUUAUUUAUCAUGCGAGCUUGUGGUGAGCAGUAGCGCUGUUUCCCGUAACUCUCUCCUUUGCUGUUUCUAGCACGUUGCUUGGCAUGAUGCAUGGGUUUCCUCUGCAGUAUGUGACAAUUAAUCUCUCAAUAUGUCACAGCAAUUUUUCCCUCUUUUUGGUCCCCAGGUACUUUUCUGGACAAGUUGUUGAGAGACUAUCAGAACGUAUCCAGAAAAGCACACGGCCUGUUUAAAGUUUACAAGCCCAAGAAUAGCAGCCUGGCCGGAACGGAGGAGAUCAACAUCGGUGAGAACGCAGAAGACCACGAGAAAGACCGCCUGGUCUGGGCCGAGGAGUUCCACGCCAGCAACAUAGUCCUGAACUCAAGCAAUAAGUGGAUCAGUGUGAAGGAGAGGGGCGUUUACCUGAUCUACCUACAGGUGACAUUCGACCUCAAUUUAAUCAACGACUCUGUAGAUCUCGAGCUCAUCGUGGAUUUUGCAUGGAAUGACAAUGGCAUCCAAGAGUUUGCUGCCGUCUAUGAUACUCGGAAACACACCAAAAAGAACGAAGAAGCUCAUCUCAGCACCUUCCUGCUGCUGCACAUGAACGCACAGGACAGGCUGGCGGUACGGGCGAACCCCAACGACAAGAUCCAAUACACUGACACUCGACCGAUUACCAGCUACAUCACCAUCGUUAAGUACGCUGACUAGUAGAUUCUGAGGCUGAGAAGAAACCAAACUUCAAAUCUUCAGCUUCUCCAACUGAGCACCUCGACUGAGUUAUUGAAUUUUAUUUAUAUCAGCUCCUGUUUUUUUGUUGUUUUUUUUGUUGGUUCUGCUUGUUGCUGAUGUCGCAAAACUCUUCUACAGAGGCUCUUCUAAGACUGUGGCCAAAAUAGAGAACGUCUGCAUUAGCAGCUGUCACAAAACAAGGCCUCCAGAUGUUUAACCACGAGCAAAACUGUGAUGAAACUCACUCUGACAUGUUCGGGAUGUUUGCGUAGGGCGCUGCAAUACUUUCUCAGUGUGUGUGUGUGUGUGUUUUUUCAUCUUUUUUUUCAUGUUCCCCUCCGUAGCAUGACGCUCCUGACUCACGAUUUUCUGAGAAGCCUGACACAUUUUCCUCCCAUGAGAGACAAAAGUGAUUUUCACUUUGUUUCAGGUUCGUUAUGAGUCAGUUGAAAGAAAGAGCAUCGAGGCUGCUUCCUCAUUUAUCAGCAUGCAGCUUGAAGAAAUGAGCACACAUACAAACACACACACAAACACACACACACACACACACACACAGCCACAAAGUUAACGUCACUUCCAUAAGCUUGCUUCAAUCUGAAAGGCUGACACAGUUCGGUCUGCGAAGGUGAACAGAGUGACCUGUCUUUGGGAGGCGGGAAAUAUUAUAUAAAUAUAAUAUAAAUAUAAAAUAUGAGUAUAAAUAUAAGUGUUUGCCAGUCUUACCUAAACUGAAUGUAAUACACUCCUUAAAUA